rnacentral:ncRNA from 1 species
UGAAAAGGGCAAACCGGCUGAAAAGCCGGGACGCAAAGCUUUGGAGGCUAACACGGACCCACCGUCAAGCCAGUCCGGCUGCCAC